GACGAACGCUGGCGGCGUGCUUAACACAUGCAAGUCGAACGGGAUUUAGUAGACAGAAGCCUCGGCUAAAGAUUACUAAUGAGAGUGGCGAACGGGUGAGUAACGCGUGAGCAACCUGCCUAUGACAGUGGGAUAGCCUCGGGAAACCGGGAUUAAUACCGCAUAAAAUCGUAGAAACACAUGUUUUAACGUUCAAAGAUUUAUCGGUCAUAGAUGGGCUCGCGUCUGAUUAGCUAGUUGGUGAGAUAACAGCCCACCAAGGCGACGAUCAGUAGCCGGUCUGAGAGGAUGAACGGCCACAUUGGAACUGAGACACGGUCCAAACUCCUACGGGAAGCAGCAGUGGGGAAUAUUGCACAAUGGGGGAAACCCUGAUGCAGCGACGCCGCGUGAACGAAGAAGGUAUUCGUAUCGUAAAGUUCUGUCCUAUGGGAAGAUAAUGACAGUACCAUAGAAGAAAGCUCCGGCUAAAUACGUG
rnacentral:rRNA from 1 species